AGCGAACGCUGGCGGCGCGCUUAACACAUGCAAGUCGAACGCGAACGAGUCUCUUCGGAGACUUUAUUAGAGUGGCGGACGGGUGAGUAUAACGUGGGUAACACGCCUCUGAAUGUGGAAUAACUUCUCGAAAGGGGAGCUAAUACCGCAUAAUAUCUAUUGGUCAUAAGUCCAUUAGAUCAAAGGUGGCCUCUUCAUGAAAGCUAUCGUUUAGAGAGUGGCCCGCGCCCCAUUAGCUAGUUGGUGAGGUAACGGCUCACCAAGGCUGCGAUGGGUAGCCGACCUGAGAGGGUGAUCGGCCACACUGGGACUGAGACACGGCCCAGACUCCUACGGGAGGCAGCAGUGAGGAAUUUUCCGCAAUGGACGAAAGUCUGACGGAGCGACGCCGCGUGCGUGAUGAAGGCCCUCGGGUCGUAAAGCGCUGU
rnacentral:rRNA from 1 species